UACGGAGGGUGCGAGCGUUGUCCGGAAUCACUGGGCGUAAAGGGCGCGUAGGCGGCCUGAUAAGUAGGGGGUGAAAUCCUGCGGCUUAACCGCAGGGCUGCCUUCUAAACUGUCGGGCUCGAGCACGGUAGAGGCAGAUGGAAUUCCCGGUGUAGCGGUGGAAUGCGUAGAGAUCGGGAAGAACAUCAGUGGCGAAGGCGGUCUGCUGGGCCGUUGCUGACGCUGAGGCGCGACAGCGUGGGGAGCAAACAGG
rnacentral:rRNA from 1 species